CAUUUGCACUCAGAAAUCCAAUCUGCUGGCCUCUGUCUCUCAAGAAGGCUUCUCUGUACUUGUACUGCAGGAAGGGCAGAGGAAUUAAAUAAUGUAUCAUAUGCAAGUUACAAGAGAAGGCCCCACGAGUGAAUUAGUAUGACUCAAAGCAGUAAGUAAUAACCUGUUUGUACUGGGUGUAAAAGAACCCCUUUUGAAAUAAUUUUCUGAGGUGAGUUCAAGUCAGGAAUACUAAUUAUUUUAUCUGGUGCAUGCUUCCUCAUUAACCCCAUUUCUAGGCGGACACCUUACUCUCUUUUUACUCACAUUAAAGGCUUGCUUAAACUCCUAAUCCAGUAAAGAAAACAAGGCACACCCAAUAGAAAGUGAAAGCCAGUAAAGUACCCACAAUCCCGACAAUUCUGACUUCUUCAGAGUAACAGUGGCUUACUGUGAUUUUAACUCAAUCGAUCAUCCAUUUUUUUCAGGGUUGGGUUUUUUUUCCCUUAUAUGCAGAAGGAUGUAACAGCCAGCUAGCUCAAGCAUGUUGUACUUUACUAGAUAGUGAGGGUGUCAGAAAAAAGCACCUUCAUAAUUUCUCUGGAUUCCUGACCUCCAGGGUCUAAAGACAAAGAGCCAAGUGCUGAGGUUCUUACUCACCUCCUAUCCUGUCCCUAAGUAUAUGCUUUUAGGAUCUAAGGACUAAGUCCCUGGAAAUGCCACUUUCCUAUCAUGUGAGCCACCAUCACACAUCAGUAAAUAGUAAAAAAUCCUGCCUUCCUGGAUCUAACUACCUGUAUGCCAUCUGUUAGCCAUUACAGAAGACGACAGAAAUGGGAGUUGAAAAGGUAAAGAACUAGCAACAGCUUCUAUACCAUCCCAAGAAUACCCAAAAAAAGUUCUGGCAAUGAAGACUACAUUUGGGAUACCAAAUAGCAAAUACACUGAGUAAGAAAGGACACAAGCUCUUCAGUGUUUUGAUUGCGGCUCUGAUUUUCACAGCUGGAAUAUCUGUUAAUACCUGCUCAUCAGAUCUGACUGAAUCCAACGAAUACCCCAUCACUUUAUCUCACAAUAAAAUCCUGAGCUCAGUAAAUGAUAAGCUCUCUAAAGACCUAUAAAGAGUUAGCAUAACUUUCUAAAUAAACUUUUUCACUUCCCUGA